rnacentral:tRNA from 1 species
CGUUUAAAGGUAAGGAGUUGUUUUGAAAGCAAUUAAUAGAGUGUUCGAUUCACUCAAAACGUUA